rnacentral:tRNA from 1 species
GAGGGUAUAGCUUAAGUGGUAGAGCACUUGCUUAGCAUGCACGAGGUCCUGGGUUCAAUCCCCAGUAACUGUU